AUUUUCUGUACUCAGCUCGUCGAGUUUAGUCAGAAUAUACCAAAAUUUUUUAAAAGUUCCGUCAUGAGGACCAAUGCAAUAGUUAGAUUUUAGAUUUCUAAUAAAUAUAAUAAAAACAAUAUCUAUAGAUAUGAAACAACAAUCUAAUGUUGUUUUCUAGACAUUCGGAUAAAAUGGGACGUAGGACCGAGUCUCCUAACGACCAAAAAGUAAUGCAUAAAAUGAAGAAGUAAUAUAGAGUGUACAAAAAUCGAGAAAAACAAAUUUGUAUUAUAUGAAGAGUAAAAAGUAAGAUAUACUUAACUACAUAAAUUCUACUGUUCAUAAAAUUCCAAAUAAUUAUAAUUGUACUUGAACGUUCAAUUAAGUCACUAUAUGUAGGUUAUGAGCAAAAUGAAGAAGUGUAUAGUACGAUCGUUAUUUAACAGGCGGAUUGUAAUUAUUACACGACUCUUUAUACGAGUUUACUUGAAAUAAAAGAUGAACAAAUCUUCCAUAUUAUAGUUAGAAGGUAUGUCGUGGAAGGUGUUCACAGGUGUUUUUGGUCAACAAUGCUUUCCUCUUCCUUAAUAAUUUUUUAAAUUUAAGAAUGAAGUAAAGUAAUAUGUAAACCAUUGUUCUAUUAUACAUUAAAAAAAAUUGAAUUAAACACUCACUGUAAUUUUUUA